rnacentral:rRNA from 1 species
UACAGAGGGCGCGAGCGUUGUUCGGAAUUAUUGGGCGUAAAGGGCGCGUAGGCGGUGCGGUAAGUCACCUGUGAAAUCUCCUGGCUCAACUGGGAGCUUGCAGGCGAAACUGCCGUGCUGGAGUGUGGGAGAGGUGCGUGGAAUUCCUGGUGUAGCGGUGAAAUGCGUAGAUAUCAGGAGGAACACCUGUGGCGAAAGCGGCGCACUGGACCACAACUGACGCUGAGGCGCGAAAGCUAGGGGAGCAAACAGG